GGCGAUAGGCAGCGGUUGUGAAUUCCGAGGCGGCACCGGGGAGAUGGGAUCUGAAGGAGCAAAGGAUGUAGUCAUUCAUGUUACUGGAUUUAAGAAGUUUCAAGGAGUAGCUGAAAAUCCCACAGAGACAAUAGUUAACAAUCUGAAGGAUUAUGUUGAAAAGAGAGGGUUGCCUGCUGGCCUUACUCUAGGAAGUUGCCCCAUUCUUGAGACUGCUGGAGAUGGUGCUCUUCCCACGCUUUACAAGAUCUUGGAAUCGAGCACUGCAGCUACCAAUAAUGGCAAAAACGAACAAAUCGUUUGGCUUCACUUAGGGGUGAAUAGCGGGGCUGUAAGAUUUGCCAUUGAAAGACUAGCAGCGAAUGAAGCCACCUUCUGUUGUCCAGAUGAGCUGGGAUGGCAACCUAAGCAACAUCCCAUAGUCCCUGGGGAUGGAGGAAUUUCCUGCACAAGGGAGACUUGUUGCUCUAUUGAGGUUAUACUGAAGUUUUUGAAGAAGAAGGGCUAUGAGGUGACAAUAUCAAAUGAUGCAGGUCGCUUUGUAUGCAACUAUGUCUAUUAUCACUCUCUUCGAUUUGCAGAACAGAAGGGUCA
rnacentral:misc_RNA from 1 species